rnacentral:rRNA from 1 species
AGCGAACGCUGGCGGCGUGCUUAACACAUGCAAGUCGAGUGCGCGCCUGUAGCAAUACAGGUGGCGCACGGCGCACGGGUGCGUAACACGUGGGUAACCUGCCCUUUGAUGGGGAAUAACCCCGCGAAAGCGGGGCUAAUUCCGCAUAAGAUCCGCAAGGAUGAAAGCCGUAAGGCGUCGAAGGUGGGGCCUGCGCACGA